ACUGGUGUGGUGUAGUGGUUUGAGCAUUGGAUUAUAGCUCUACAGACCAGGGUUCAAAUCCCAGCUUGGCUA